ensembl:lncRNA
GUUCUUCUGUCACAAUUCUUCACUUAUUUUUCAGUUCUUUACCUUGUCCUGCCGCAGCAUCAGUUUCUACACAAGCUCAGGGAAUCAGGAAACAAGGAGGAUAAGGGGAAGUUGACAGCCUGAAAAGCACUAUCAAAAGAUGAGAAUAAGCCAGUGGAGCUACACACAUAACUAAAAAGUGGCUGUAACCUUGUCCAUCUAGCUAGGCUGGAGCCUUGCCUGAAUGAACGUUCUGCCUCCACAGAGUUGGUAAUUUGUGUGAAAUGAGUUGGUGACCACUGUUGCUACUGGGAUGUUUUGUCUGUAUCACAAAAACACUACCACAUCUGGCACAAACAAAUCAUAAUAGUCUGAAACAGCCUAGAGGCUAACGACUUUAGAGGAAAUCCCAAACACUUAGGUAGAUUUCAACACCACAUAAUAUUUGUGCCUCUAGAGCUGUUCCAGAUCAGAAAUUAGGUAUGGAGUUCUCGCUACACCUACCACUGUGGCAUCUAAUCCGUGAAGACAAAAGUCUCAGUAUCCUCGCCUGUUAGUCAGGUCAUUUCAUAAACACUAUUUCCAGGCAAGUGUAAAGCUACUGCUCUGCUGGAAAUUCAGAAGAUGUGGACUCUAAGGACCUAUGAAGAAUAAUUUAGUCUUGGAAAGUCUGAGAAGAGGCAAGAUGCCAUUACACAAAUAUAUAAAACAAAGCUGCAAAGAGGAAGGAAAUAAGUAACUCUUCCUGUUUACUACGAGUAAAAAGCAGUGAGCUUAAAGUACAAGGAAAAUUAAGCGUAAAGAGAAGUGCCACACAACAACAACAGAAGCCAUGCAGCCACUCCUUUGAGCUGAACAGAAGCACCGUGCCAUCUCUCUUAGACAAAGGGCUGCGUGGCCAGGAAGUCGAUCUAAGAAGAGAGGCAGCAGCUCCUCCUUCCCUGCCUCUUAGGAGAGAGCAGUUUCUGCUGGGGUUGGGAGGUUGGGAGCCCUCCCCCAGCUCAGGAAUGCAGUUGUUCUGGAGAUCCAGUUUGAGAGCAUCCAUGCGGACUAAAGGGACAUUCCUAGUCUUAAGGCAGCGAGAUGGACUAGGUGUCUCACCUCCCCUCUAACUUACAUGAUGUGUUAGCUGCAAAGGGUGCAGUGCACAAACUGAAGCCUAAGCGUUAUAACGUCUUGUAAAGGAGUGGAGCAGAACACCAGCUACAUCAGCUGCACAGCUGGCCAAAGUGAGCAAAAGGGAGGAAGGGUGGUCUUUGAAAAACUCAUCUGGGGAAAAAAAAAAGAAAAAAGAAAAAAAGAGAAAAAAAAAAGGCAUUUUUUUCCUAACAUAACAAGAAUUACGACUUUUUCCUCUGCUGCCAUCACGAGAGAUGACUGAAAUAAAGAUGAUGCAGCUGAGUGCUCCUGUUUAAUGCUCCUUCCGUAGGAAAUACUGUUGCAACACAUGCAGAAAAUAUCAGGGAUGCAAGGAAACUUAAAGAGGCAAAAGUGAGUUGAUUUAAAAUAAGAACUGAAACAAAACAGGCAGUCUCAUGCUAAGUGUGCGGUGCCCAAGAAGCCCAGCCAUAAGCCGGUGUACUCAAGCCAGCUCUGUUGUGUCCAGCUCCGUUGUGAAGGAGGAGAAAGGACGCCAUCUAUCCAAGCUCUCAUGUCUCCUGGGUGAAUUCCUGAGUUGGUUGCCGUGAACAGGUUUGGACAUCAAAACACAAUGUCUUUUCAGAGCUGACAGUAUCUCCAUGCAGCCACAGCUCUGGGAGCCAUCGGGACUAAUCACUCUUCUUUGUCUCCAGAUGUGUCUUUGUGAAGCAGCGGGCAGAUGCCCCGGGGUCUCGAUGACCGAUCUAGGAAGGGAACGUUCGCCCUUUUUCUUGAAGACCAGCACUGUGUUUGGCUCAUGGGCCCUCGGGGCAUUUUGAAAUGGUAAUUGGAAGAGAAAGAAGUUUACAGAAACCAUAUGAAGAAACACUAGUGCCUUCUUCAAAGUAUCAUAUUAAUGCUGCUUAAUGUAGGAGCCGUCUUGACUGGGUGCCUAUUUGGAUUUAGAUAAUUGCUAGCUUACCAGUUCAAACCAGUUCAAAAUGAGAAUGCGCAGCAUCCAAGAUUUACUCAUGUGCCUCUCGAUGGGUUUUUGUUGUUUUUUUUUCCUUCUUCUUCUUCUUCUUCUUCUUUUUUUUUCCUGCUGCUAAAGUCUGUCUGGUUUCAUCUUCCUUCAUCUUCUGUUACUUUGACCCUGCCUACAGGAGAAAGAUACACUUGAAAAACUGCAAGCUGCUCAUAAGCCAGUACAGUCUGGGCAUUCACAGAGAGAUCAAAGAGGGGAUAUAUAUGUGGAUAAUAAGUGGAUAUGUAUGACUUUUUUUCAUAUUGGGCAAGGCUAUAAUCUUAUUUAUCGAUUUUGUAGAAGGCUGUCUUUUUAAGUAUUUAACCUCUGUUCCGCGGAUUGUGUCUUCUGCUGAGGUGAAGACCCCGUCCCGCCAUUUCUUCCCAUUUGGAGGGCACAACCCGCAGAAGAAAGUGCUGGACUCUCUUCCUUCUGGUGUAGGGAAACGCACUGCUUUGCAAGUUCUUCCUGAUCGACCUGAUCUAACUUGAAAUAAGCCAUUUAUAUUCCUGCAAAGGAAUACCAGGUUAUCCACAUGGCCUUUUGCCCAGGCUUAACAUAAUUCCUUUAAGACAAACUGCAAAUGAAUAGUUGUGCAGUUUUCCUGUGCAGGCAAGCCCUUAAUCUAAUUGGAGCAUGGAAAACAGCAUCUGAGAAGGCAAAACAGUGUGUAGACUUGGGGAAUGAGAGUGGGAGGUAAUGUAACGUGGUGUCUAUUGGGGCUGAUGGAGAGAUCUGAAAAGAUAAGCUAAAAGUGAUUAAGGUUUUUAAAAUCCAAACUAGCAAGGAUUACAGGGAUAUGAAAAACAGAACCUGAGCCUGAACUUUUCCAUGUUCCGAGAACUGCCAUCUUCCUUCCUCUUGUUUUGAAACGGACGGGGUUCUGCCAACGCUAAACCUGCAGCAUACGGGCAGUGCUGCCUCUCAGUAUUAGCUAUUUCAAAAUAUAGCUCUCCCUUAAUAAGGAGCGCUAGCAACAUUGGGCAUUCCUCAGAUAGCUGAGGCCAUGGCUGCUUAACGUGAACACUUUUGGCAGCUGCAUUAUGUUGCACAAGCACCACCUUCAAAGGUCAAAUCUUGUCAGGUGUUCACACCUGUCUGCAGCAGAGGGGAGAACACUGGCAAGACACCUUAAAAUGCUAGGAAAGAUCUGACCCAUCCCAUACACGCAAUGUGACCAGGGCAAAUCCUCCACAGCCACAAGAGGCACGUGGCAGACUGAGAGACUCACUGGUGCAGUGGGGACAUUUAACUGAAGCAUGGGCCUGAGGCUGAAAGUGAGAGACUGGAUGUUUCACCAGGCUCUGGUCUGGGUACUAGCCAGCAGCAGCAGCAAUUGCUGCGAGGCUGGGCUGAGCACAGCUUUUUUGAGGCCAGCCAACAGACGUGUCAGGAGCCUACAGAGCUAAAACUAACUAGUACUUUUGUUCUUUCCACUGUUCGCCCAUACUUUCGCUCCCCUUUUCUGCCCUUUCAGUGGCAGCCUUGUGCAGCACUCAGGUCACCAGUCCCCGGGCCCUGACUCCAGCUCAAGAAGUAUCUGCUGUGGGCCUGAGCUGCAAGCAGCUCUUAUAGCGAUGCCCUAGGGAAGCACUCAGCAUGGGGAUGGAGAUAAAAGCUGUGUGAAGUUCAUGGGAUCAUUCCUCUCCAUGUCUGAUCUGAGCGUAACAGAGGAAAUAAGGACAAAACUACACUUGUACUUCUUCCGUUCCCACAGACACCAGUGACUACUUACUUGAUUGUGUCUCUAAACUAUUGCAGAAAAGAAAAAAGAAGACUCCACCAAAGAAAAACAGAAAAGCAUCGCAAGCUGCUUCAGACAAGGACUAGCAUAUGCUUCAGCUGGGCAAGAUGUGAACCCCUUUGAAGUUUUCAAACAUGCUUCAGGCACCUUUGCAGGGAUCACUCCGAAUGUGCUCUUCAUCAAGGCUUCCCCAAGUCAUUAUGUACGUACUAUUGGCCUCAACAUUCUUUCAGCCUCUGCCUGUCUGGGAGAGGAGGAAGAUGAGGGGAGACUGCAAGGCUUAGAUGGCAAUACACUAACCAAAGAACAGAGAAGCUCUUCAUCAGAUUACCUUUUAAUUCUUUAUGGAAGUUAAACACAUAAUAUUCUUCCUAAGAAUAAGGGUAGAGGUGUACUCAGCAUAGGCAGCGACAGAACGAAGUGCUGCAGCAUGAUGUGGAAGAUUUGGUAAAUAUGCUGUCCAAUGCUGUCCAGUUUAGUAAUCAUAUUUUUUUUAUUAUUGGCAACUUCCUUUAUUUGUUGAAGUAAGAUUUUGUAUCAAAACAGAGAGGAAAGACGGACAGUGCUAAAACCCUGAUGCAGUUCUACAGGCAACAGAAGAUUACACAGAUUUUCUUGAAGUUUCCCGACUUCUCCUCUAGGUUUGUGUUACGUGUACUUCAGGGCAGAUCUACCCUGAGAAAAUGUGGGUAAGCAUCCUUCACUCUCCUGUCUGCCCCUGCCCACCCAGGGAACAGUGCUGUGGCUCUGCACAGGCUCCUUUAGCAGCAGUGCCAACUGCAGCAUCUCCAGGUCCCUGUCUAACUUGCUUGGGGCUAGUUGCCCCUGCUCACGUUUGACUGGCAUGGGCAUUUGUGUAGCCACUCCAAACAGGUGGUUUAUUUCGGAGACUAAACUCAGCUGGAGGUGCGGAAUGAGGUAGGGACUACCUAAACUGAUAAUGUCAGUGAGAGAAAUGCUUGGAUUAAGUGUACCAGCAUUGCCCUGUGCACUAGGUUAAGGCAUGUAAGGCAGGAAAUACACUCCAAACUGAGGAAAGUCACCGACUAUGAAACAAUAUCCCACGGGCAUUUCUUUGGGCAGCAGAGUUGCCUUUUUUUUUUUUCCUGCUGCUAUGAACAAAGUUAUUUUAAGCUCAGAUCAGCUCCUUCAUUCACCGCACUGGCUGGCAUCACUAGCAGCUACACUGGGACAGUCACAGGAAUACCUUGAGGGCAGGAACAAAUGGCAAGGCAAGUGCUGGGAACUGCCUUAACCAGUACGGCUCUGUGUGAAAUAUCAGAAAAACAAGCCUCCGAAAUGUGAGGAAACAGGGAAGGCCCCUAAUCCUGUACAUCUGGGCUUGUUUUGAACUUAGAGAAGUGGUACCACCUUAAAAAAAUGCUUUGAAAUUUCAUUCUGCCUGAGAAUUGCUUCUGCAUGCAUUAUUUAAAACUUCUCCAUCGGUACAAGGAGUUUUCUGGCCGCUGCUGUAGGUAAAUGGAGAGUUUGUAGUGAAGUCUUCAUUAAUACCAUACCAACAGCUGCGGGUGCUUCUUCUUUUCAUGGUAUUGCUCUAAAUCUGUAAGACUAACUUUUGUUGCCUAAUAAUGUCCCUAGAAAUUUGAGAAGUGAUCGGGAGCAUUAAAAAAUUAUGCUAUUAAAGACAGAUAUCUGAUAUUUCUGAGAGGGUUACGCCACCACUGAGUGAAGACUGUUUCUUAGUCACUUAGUUAAAAACGGUCCUGGUUUUGGCUGGAAUUGAGUUAAUUUUCUUCCUCACCGCUGGUAGGGUGCUGUGUUCUGAACUUGGGAUGAGAACAACACCAAUAGCACAGCGAUGUAUUGGUUGGUGCUGAGCGGUGCUUACACAGAGCCAGGGAUGUUUCAGCUUCUGACGCUGCCCUACCAGCAAGGAGCUGGGGUGUGGAAGGAGCCAGGAGGGAACGCAGCCAGGACAGCUGACCCAGACUGCCCAAAGGGAUGUCCUGUACCAGGUGGUGUCCUGCUGAACUAUACAACUGGGGGAGCUGGUGAG